CCUACGGGUGGCAGCAGUGGGGAAUAUUGGGCAAUGGGCGCAAGCCUGACCCAGCAACGCCGCGUGGGUGAUGGAGCGCUUCGGCGCGUAAAGCCCUAUCGGCAGGGAAGAAGGUGGACGGUAGCUGACUAUGAAGCCCCGGCUAACUACGUGCCAGCAGCCGCGGUAAUAUGUAGGGGGCAAGCGUUGUUCGGAUUUACUGGGUGGACAGGGGGCGCAGACGGGAGUGCAAGCCAGGUGGGAAAGCCCGGGGGCCAACCCCGGGACUGCUCUUGGAACUGGGCGGCUGGAGUGCUGGAGGGGCAGGCGGAAUUCCUGGUGUAGCGGUGAAAUGCGUAGAUAUCAGGAAGAACACCGAUGGCGAAGGCGGCCUGCUGGACUGCGACUGACGUUGAGGCCCGAAAGCGUGGGGAGCAAACAGGAUUAGAUACCCUUGUAGUC
rnacentral:rRNA from 1 species